rnacentral:rRNA from 1 species
UGGCGAACGGGUGAGUAACACGUGGGUGAUCUGCCCUGCACUUCGGGAUAAGCCUGGGAAAUUGGGUCUAAUACCGGAUAGGACGAUGGUUUGGAUGCCAUUGUGGAAAGUUUUUCGGUGUGGGAUGAGCUCGCGGCCUAUCAGCUUGUUGGUGGGGUAAUGGCCUACCAAGGCGUCGACGGGUAGCCGGCCUGAGAGGGUGUACGGCCACAUUGGGACUGAGAUACGGCCCAG